rnacentral:rRNA from 1 species
CCUACGGGAGGCUGCAGUGGGGAAUAUUGGGCAAUGGGCGCAAGCCUGACCCAGCAACGCCGCGUGAAGGAAGCAGGCUUUCGGGUUGUAAACUUCUUUUAAGGGGGAAGAGCAGAAGACGGUACCCCUUGAAUAAGCCACGGCUAACUACGUGCCAGCAGCCGCGGUAAUACGUAGGUGGCACGCGUUGUCCGGAUUUACUGGGUGUAAAGGGCGUGCAGCCGGAGAGACAAGUCAGAUGUGAAAUCCACGGGCUCAACCCGUGAACUGCAUUUGAAACUGUUUCCCUUGAGUGUCGGAGAGGUAAUCGGAAUUCCUUGUGUAGCGGUGAAAUGCGUAGAUAUAAGGAAGAACACCAGUGGCGAAGGCGGAUUACUGGACGAUAACUGACGGUGAGGCGCGAAAGCGUGGGGAGCAAACAGGAUUAGAUACCCCUGUAGUC